CUCUGGUUCGAUUUGUUUUUCUAGUGGUAGGUGGGCAAGAGAGGUCUCGGGUUUGAGAAGAAGGAAAAGAAUUGUGGGGUCUGGAGAUUGGAAGAGGAAGAAGAGGUGGCUGUGAUUGUUUUUGAAUCUGUUGAUGUGGAUGCGGCACUGAGAAUGAAAAAGAAGAAGGAGGGUAGGAGAAGGAGAGAGAAUGAGGAGGAGCAAACAAGAUACCACCACCUCCACGGAUGUUGUUGUUUGUGGGAACCAAGUUUUCAGUGGAUCUUGAAACGUGACCUCGAGUGUUUUUCUUUGAUUGGUUCUUGAUUUGCUUGUUAGGAGACAUUGAUUGAUGAUGAGCAGAGGACUUUUUAAAAAUUGCCUCCAUUGCUUACCACCUUAAUAUAUCGAUCCAAAAGAAAAAAAAAAUUAAGCAGAUAUCCACAAAAUAUAAACAAGAAAAAGAAAAUUACAAUAUAAAGAAAGGCAAUGAUCCUGCAAAAUAACGCGAUCACCAACCCUGAUGAAAUUUCCUUUAAACGGAGGAAAAAUCCUUGCAGAUUUUCUCUAUAAAAGUUGCAGAAGACGAAGGGAAAAGAUUUGAAAACUAAAAACUUCAACUCAAAGGAAGAAAGAAGAAAAUGAUCAAGAUAAUUAAGAAGAAACUGAUCAAGAUAAUAUGGGCUAUCUCAUAAGGAGAAAAUGAUAAACCAGAUCUUACGAUCCCACAGGAGAUCCUAAAAUCCCUACUUCUGA
rnacentral:misc_RNA from 1 species